AUAGAAGGUAGGGUCUGCCCACUGUUUUAUAAUAAAGGGCUGCAGUAUUUUGACUGUACAAAGGUAGCAUAAUCAUUUGUUCUUUAAUUGGGGACUGGUAUGAAUGAUUUAACUUUAAUUUUAUUGUCUUUUAAAUAAAUUUUGAAUUUUAUUUUUAUGUGAAGAAGCGUAAAUGAGAAAAGAAGACAAGAAGACCCUAUGAAAGUUUAUAAUUUUUAUUUAAAGAUAUGAAUUAGAGAAUGAUAAUUAUUUGGUUGGGGCGAUUGUUUAAUAAAACUGAAGUUUUGUUUUACUUUAAGUGAGUUUUAUGAUCCAUUUGUUGAUUAAUUGAAUAAGUUACUCUAGGGAUAACAGCAUAAUUUAUUUUGAUAGAUCUUAUUGGUAAGUAAGUUUGUGACCUCGAUGUUGGAUUAGGAUAUUUAUGUUUUGUAGAAGAAAUAUGAGAUUGUCUGUUCGACAAUUAAAAUCCUACA
rnacentral:rRNA from 1 species